UACAGAGGUCUCAAGCGUUGUUCGGAUUCAUUGGGCGUAAAGCGCACGUAGGCGGGUUGCCAAGUCGGGGGUGAAAUCCUGGAGCUCAACUCCAGAACUGCCUUCGAUACUGGCGAUCUUGGAGUCCGGGAGAGGUGAGUGGAACUGCGAGUGUAGAGGUGAAAUUCGUAGAUAUUCGCAAGAACACCAGUGGCGAAGGCGGCUCACUGGCCCGGUACUGACGCUGAGGUGCGAAAGCGUGGGGAGCAAACAGG
rnacentral:rRNA from 1 species